CAAGUCCCCAUGGGUCUGCGCAGUGCCCAACUGUGCCCUGGUUUUGGAGGGUUGAGGAAGGAGAUUAUGCCACUGUGAUUACUAUGGUAUGGACGUGUGGGGACCUGGAACCCAGGUCAGCAUCAGCUCAGAGAGCUCGUCCCCUCCAAAUCUCUACCCCCUGGUGUCCUGUGAGAGCCCCCUGUCCGAUGAGAGCCUGGUGGCCAUGGGCUGCCUGGCCCAGGACUUCCUGCCCGGCUCCAUCACCUUCUCCUGGAACUACAAGAACAGCAGUGACGUGAGCACCAGGGACAUCAAGACCUUCCCCUCGGUCCUGCGGGGGGGCAAGUACGUGGCCACCUCCCAGGUGCUCCUGGCCUCCGUGGACGUGCUCCAGGGCUCCGAUGACUUCCUCACGUGCCAAGUUCAGCACGCCAACGGCAACAAGGUCGUGAAAGUGCCCCUGUCAGGUGAGCGCUGCCCCACUGUGGGCUGGGUAAGGAACUGGGCACAGGGUUCAGAGGCCACACCGAGGCCACACGGCCGGCUGCAGCACCUCAGAGAGGCCCAGGCCUACAUGCAGGCCCCUGAGGCUGCCAGGCCCCCCAGCAGCCGCCUGCGGAACCCAGGAGGCCCUCACAGGGGGUUCCACCAGCUCCUUGGCUGUGCUGCCCUGUCACCCUCACUGCCACAGCAGGACUCCGAGGACAAGGUGCUCAGCCUUGGCCACUAUCUGCCCCUGCCCAGCCCCCACUCAUGCCUGGCCUGA